rnacentral:rRNA from 1 species
CCUACGGGGGGCAUCAGUGGGGAAUAUUGGACAAUGGGGGGAACCCUGAUCCAGCCAUGCCGCGUGUGUGAAGAAGGCCCUCGGGUUGUAAAGCACUUUCAGUGAGGAAGAACGCCUGGUGGUUAAUACCCAUCAGGAAAGACAUCACUCACAGAAGAAGCACCGGCUAACUCCGUGCCAGCAGCCGCGGUAAUACGGAGGGUGCGAGCGUUAAUCGGAAUUACUGGGCGUAAAGCGCGCGUAGGUGGCUUGAUAAGCCGGUUGUGAAAGCCCCGGGCUCAACCUGGGAACGGCAUCCGGAACUGUCAAGCUAGAGUGCAGGAGAGGAAGGUAGAAUUCCCGGUGUAGCGGUGAAAUGCGUAGAGAUCGGGAGGAAUACCAGUGGCGAAGGCGGCCUUCUGGACUGACACUGACACUGAGGUGCGAAAGCGUGGGUAGCAAACAGGAUUAGAUAACCCGGUAGUC